rnacentral:tRNA from 1 species
GGAGAUGUGGCUCAGUGGUAGAGUGCUAGCCCUAGCGGAGCAGAGGCCUGGAUUCAAUCCACAGCAACACACA